GAUGAACGCUGGCGGCGUGCCUAAUACAUGCAAGUCGAGCGAACAGACGAGGAGCUUGCUCCUCUGACGUUAGCGGCGGACGGGUGAGUAACACGUGGAUAACCUACCUAUAAGACUGUGAUAACUUCGGGAAACCGGAGCUAAUACCGGAUAAUAUAUUGAACCGCAUGGUUCAAUAGUUAAAGACGGUUUUGCUGUCACUUAUAGAUGGAUCCGCGCCGCAUUAGCUAGUUGGUAAGGUAACGGCUUACCAAGGCAACGAUGCGUAGCCGACCUGAGAGGGUGAUCGGCCACACUGGAACUGAGACACGGUCCAGACUCCUACGGGAGGCAGCAGUAGGGAAUCUUCCGCAAAGGGCGAAAGCCUGACGGAGCAAAGCCGCGUGAGUGAUGAAGGUCUUCGGAUCGUAAAACUCUGUUAUUAGGGAAGAACAAAUGUGUAAGUAACUAUGCACGUCUUGACGGUACCUAAUCAGAAAGCCACGGCUAACUACGUG
rnacentral:rRNA from 1 species